rnacentral:siRNA from 1 species
UAGACUAAUGUGAUAUCCGGAUG